UCCCCCAGGGAAUGGGCAAAGAGACACCUCUUUGGCGAUGUCGUUCUUCUAUCAGUCAGGGGCGGAGCAGAUGGAAGUCCUUCGUUUAUCCUAGCUUGAUGCCUGGUCUGGUGGCCGGAAACAUUUUAUGGCGAGGACUCACAG
ensembl:snoRNA LOC120100405 small nucleolar RNA SNORA48